UACGUAGGGUGCGAGCGUUGUCCGGAAUUACUGGGCGUAAAGAGCUCGUAGGUGGUUUGUCGCGUUGUCCGUGAAAACUCACAGCUUAACUGUGGGCGUGCGGGCGAUACGGGCAGACUGGAGUACUGCAGGGGAGACUGGAAUUCCUGGUGUAGCGGUGAAAUGCGCAGAUAUCAGGAGGAACACCGGUGGCGAAGGCGGCAUCCUGGACCGGUAUUGACGCUGAGGCGCGAAAGCUAGGGGAGCAAACGGG
rnacentral:rRNA from 1 species